UACGUAGGGUGCGAGCGUUGUCCGGAAUUAUUGGGCGUAAAGAGCUUGUAGGCGGUCUGUCGCGUCUGCUGUGAAAAUCCGGGGCUCAACCCCGGACUUGCAGUGGGUACGGGCAGACUAGAGUGUGGUAGGGGAGACUGGAAUUCCUGGUGUAGCGGUGAAAUGCGCAGAUAUCGGGAGGAACACCGGUGGCGAAGGCGGUUCUCUGGGCCAUAACUGACGCUGAGGCGCGAAAGCUAGGGGAGCAAACGGG
rnacentral:rRNA from 1 species